AUCCAAAAUAUGAACGUCCAGCUAACAGAACCAAAGCUGUCAGCCUGAACAAAUGAACCAGACUGCUCUGGCCAUACAGCAGGCUGCACCUCGCGAUUGGUGAGUCUUUCUACACUAGUGGGAAAAUAAUAUUUUUUAUAAUCAGCAAUGUUAUAACAGCUUACUGGUAAACAUAACAAUAAAAUACUUUACACUUAUUACACGCCAUUAAAAACGGUGUGUGUGUGUGUGUGUGUGUGUGUUAUGUAUUGA